ACUUAAGAAAAACAAUGAGUUGCUUUCAGAAGAUAAUGAAAAAUUAACUAAAGAAGUUGAUAAUUUGAAACCUACUGUUGAAAGAUUCACUCUCAGCUCUGAAAAACUGAAUUUAAUGAUAGAAAAUUCAAGAGCUGUAUAUGACAAAGCUGGAUUGGGAUAUCAACCUUGGUACACUCAAAAAUCUUUCGAGAAUAUAUUUCUUAAAUCCUCCACUAUUCAUCCUAAAACAAUUUUUCACAAAUCUGGUGAAACUAAUAAACAAAAAUAGAAAACUGAAAAUUCAUUAUCUGUUUUUGCUAAAUGUAUGUUGUUUAAAUUUAGCAAGAGUAUGCAGAAGUAUAUUACUUGUAAUCCUAAAACCUGCAAACUAAGAGACAAAAU
rnacentral:lncRNA from 1 species